rnacentral:rRNA from 1 species
UUGGGUAACACCUCCUGGAGGACCGAACCCACUAACGUUGAAAAGUUAGGGGAUGAGCUGUGGGUGGGAGUGAAAGGCUAAUCAAACUGGGAAAUAGCUGGUUCUCCGCGAAAUAUAUUGAGGUAUAGCCUCGGACGAAUUCCAUCGGAGGUAGAGCACUGGAUGGGCUAGGGGUCCUACCAGAUUACCAAACCCAACCAAACUCCGAAUGCCGAUGAGAACUAUCCGGGAGACAGGCAGUGGGUGAUAAGGUCCAUUGCCGAGAGGGAAAGAGCCCAGAUCGACAGCUAAGGUCCCAAAAUCCAGGCUAAGUGUAAAAGGAUGUGGGAGCGCUCAGACAGCCAGGAGGUUGGCUUAGAAGCAGCCAUCCUUUAAAGAAAGCGUAAUAGCUCACUGGUCGAGCGAGCCUGCGCCGAAAAUACAACGGGGCUAAAGCCUGGUACCGAAGCUUCGGACUUCGUAAGAAGUGGUAGCGGAGUACUCUCAAGCAGACACACGGCGUACCGGCAAGGAGCGCUAUCGGGCUUGAGAGGAGCUUAUGCAGGCAUGAGUAGCGAUAAACAGAGUGAGAAACUCUGUCGCCGUAAGCCCAAGGUUUCCUGGGGAAGGAUAAUCCUCCCAUGGGUUAGUCGGAACCUAAGCUGAGGCCGAAAGGCGUAAGUGAUGGAAAGCAGGUUAAUAUUCCUGCACCACAUUGGGUGGCGUUGAAGCGAGCAGGGACGGAGUAGGAUAUGCUGAUCCCACUGUUUGGUAGUGGGUUCAAGCGCGUAGGCAGGUCUCGUAGGACGCGACAGCGACAAACGCGAGGCCAAUGCCGAGACGUGAUGAGGUUGGUCUUCGGACCUAAAACUCAGUGAUUCCAGACUUCCAAGAAAAGCUGCCCGCGGAGCCUCUUUUGUGUCCGUACCGCAAACCGACUCAGGUGGGCGGGGUGAAUAUCCCAAGGCGCGUGAGAGAACGCUGGCUAAGGAACUCGGCAAAAUAGCACCGUAACUUCGGGAGAAGGUGUGCCCAUUCUUGUCAAGAGCGAACGCUCGGAGCAAAGAUGGGUCGCAGUGAAAUGGGGGUUGCGACUGUUUACUAAAAACACAGGACUCUGCGAACUCGGAAGAGGACGUAUAGGGUCUGACGCCUGCCCGGUGCUGGAAGGUUAAGGGGAGGAGUUAGCGCAAGCGAAGCUCCGAACCGAAGCCCCAGUAAACGGCGGCCGUAACAAUAACGGUCCUAAGGUAGCGAAAUUCCUUGUCGGGUAAGUUCCGACCUGCACGAGGGCGUAACGACAUCCCUACUGUCUCGGCCAGCGACUCAGCGAAAUUGUAUUGGGGGUGAAGAUACCCUCUACCCGCGGCAAGACGGAAAGACCCCAUGAACCUUCACUGCAACUUGACAGUGAGGU